rnacentral:rRNA from 1 species
CGUAGGUGGCAAGCGUUGUCCGGAUUUAUUGGGCGUAAAGCGAGCGCAGGCGGUUCUUUAAGUCUGAUGUGAAAGCCCCCAGCUCAACUGGGGAAGGUCAUUGGAAACUGGGGGAACUUGAGUGCAGAAGAGGAGAGUGGAAUUCCACGUGUAGCGGUGAAAUGCGUAGAUAUGUGGAGGAACACCAGUGGCGAAGGCGACUCUCUGGUCUGUAACUGACGCUGAGGCUCGAAAGCGUGGGGAGCAAACAGGAUU